AAGUCGAAGAGGAGGAGGAGGAGGAGGAGGAAGAAGCAGAGCCAGAAACAGAGGCAGAGACAGCCUUAG
rnacentral:ribozyme from 1 species